rnacentral:tRNA from 1 species
GAAAAUGUUUCACUGCGAGGGAAGUAGCAACAUCGUAGCUACAGUAAAAACAGCACUCGAGAUAGCCUGCUGCAUUCAUUUUGUCCACUGCUCCCUUUUUUCCCUAUGAGGGGAAUUAGCUCAAAUGGUAGAGCGCUCGCUUAGCAUGCGAGAAGUAGCGGGAUCGAUGCCCGCAUUCUCCAAAAUUUUUCCCGUCCCAGCGUGUGGCCAAAUUUAUGUAAUCGUCCUCCAUUCCCGAACGAGAAGCCACCUGACGCUAGCAGGAAAGACCAGAUCUGACUUCGAAUUGAGUAAAAUUAAGAUCACUCAAGUUGAUAUUUAGAUUUAGAGUGACUGACAUGAAUUGGAGCAGGAACAGACUUAGUCUGCACUCAGGUGGAACAACAGAUAAGUAAUGCAUUUGUCAACAACAGUUGUGCCAAUUAUAAUGCAUAUCACAAGGGUUGAGAGGUGUGUACACACUUGCAAUGUAACCUACAUAUGUUGUUAAACUCUUUUUUUUAUUAUUAUGUUUUUUUACCCCCAAUUUCAUGGUAUCCAAUUGGUAGUUAAAGUCUUGUCUCAUCGCUGCAACUCCCGUACGGACUCAGGAGAGGCAAAGGUCAAGAACCAUGCGUCCUCCGUAAAAAAGGACCCAACCAAGCCGCACUGCUUCUUGACACAAUGCCCGCUUAACCCAUAAACACCAAUGUGUUGGAGGAAACACCGUACACCCGGCGACCGUGUCAGCGCCCGGCCCACCACUGGAGUCGCUAGAGCAAGGACAUCCCUGCCGGCAAAACACUCCCUUAACCCGGACGAUGCUGGGCCAAUUGUGCACCGCCCCGGUCUGCUGCGACAGAGCCUGGACUCAAACCAGGAUAUCUAGUGACCACUGUGCCACUCGGGAGGCCCCAUCUGUUGUUAAACUCGAGUGAUGAAUAAGACCUAGAGCUUUUGUAAAUUCACAUGAUUAACACAUGAUGUCAAUCCAGAUCUGAAUGUUUGAUAUCCUUUCUACUAUACACUGUUGAUAGUAGUUGAUGCCAAAGCUAACCUUUGAGAGUACACAGUGGCUAAUCUUUGUCCUACUACAAGGACUCGGUCAGCUUGACAAACUUUUGCGUCAUAUGAACACACACACACACCCCAUGGGUUGCCAUGGCGAGUACACUGAGCAGUCUGGAAAAGCUCAUAUUGUGCAUUAAGUGACUGAAUGCAACAAAAAAGAAACAGCACAGUGACAUGAUCACACAGUUCACUCUACGCCUCUCAAUUACACGCUCACUCACUCUCAUAGUUUAGCUUUAUGAUUAUUCUCAUUUAAGGUAAUUGGGCCUCAAUUACAGGAGAGGAAUGACAUGCAUGACCUGGCUCUCCUCUGCUGAGACUGAUCCGGGCCCAGCAGCGCAGGCCCAGCUUUAACAGUGGUCCUCCCUACAGGUUGGCCUGUUCCCCUCCCCUUUGGCACCAGCUCCUGACACGACAAAAGAGGAUUGCUCUGAAGCAUUCCUGCUGGAUACAGGUAAUUCAAAUGAUAUCACACACAUACUUAUGUGUGCAGGCACUAACUCAUUCUAACACACACACACUUGAUUUAGGUUAGUGUAUAGUAAAGGCUUUGUCAUUAAAAUAAUAUUGUGCCUCUCUUUCAGAUCUGCCACUGCCCUUGAAAGCUUCUCCACUGGGCCCAUCAAGAGAUGAGGUUGCCUUUUCAUCUUAGACCACGGCCCAUGGACAGAGCCCAUUAGAACUGCCAGUGAUGUCCUACUGGUCAAGCACCACGGGGAGGAAGUGACCCUGAAGUGGGUGGAUCUGCUUUGCUGCAGAGAGUUUGUUUGUUACUGCAGAAAGUACCGUAAUGCCACAUCCCCUUCCACCUGCACUUACACAGCAAAAAAACUCACCAAUUCAAGGAUACCAUUUGAGGAUUUUGCUGCGGCUGCCUUCUUUCAAUGGGAGCUGGAGGCCUCGAUGCAGAGGAAGGAGUGAGGAAUGGACGAACUGAGAAAAGAGAAAAUCCUUAGAGCAGCAUCCCUCCGGCCGUCUGUACAGGUUCUACCACCAGCCGCUGAAACAAGGCCCCAACAGCCCUCACACACAUACCGGCUUUCCUUGAGUGGGAGGAAAAUAUCUACUGCCUAGCCAAAGUGUUUUCCCUGUACCUUGCCUUUUAUGAGACUGAAAGAUAGAGAUGGAUGGUGAAGAAGGGGGGGGGGUGUCUCUACAGACACACACACACAGAAGUAAAUAGGAGCUGAAAAUCUAUUUCCAUUCAUGGAAGUGGUUAAGACUCGUUUGAUUUGUAUUUAUUUCACAGGUACUGUCCAUUCUUUUACAUUAUUGUACAUACAUUGCUGGAUAUCACUGUAUAUAUUAUUGUCCAUUACUAUUUUGUGUAAAUGUUGCACAAAGGCCAACCUUUUAUUCUAAUUGUGGUGAGUAUGUCUUGUAUUAUAAACUAAUUGCUAUAGUUAGUGUGUGAAUAAGUUUGUUGUAUUAAGGGUUGUGCUCCAACACUAUCAUAACUAUGGCUUUGAUUUCAUUCGAAUCAACCUCAAAGUAAUCUUCUCUAUGAGCUGCUUUAGAGUUGUCUUUAUGAGUAAGAUACAUGCCUUUCCAUUGUGCUCUAACACAUAAAUUUGCCUUUGAUUUCAUUCUAUUAAACCUCAACGUAAAGCAAU